rnacentral:rRNA from 1 species
GAUGAACGCUGGCGGCGUGCCUAAUACAUGCAAGUCGAGCGAACAGACGAGGAGCUUGCUCCUCUGACGUUAGCGGCGGACGGGUGAGUAACACGUGGAUAACCUACCUAUAAGACUGGGAUAACUUCGGGAAACCGGAGCUAAUACCGGAUAAUAUAUUGAACCGCAUGGUUCAAUAGUGAAAGACGGUUUUGCUGUCACUUAUAGAUGGAUCCGCGCCGCAUUAGCUAGUUGGUAAGGUAACGUCUUACCAAGGCAACGAUGCGUAGCCGACCUGAGAGGGUGAUCGGCCACACUGGAACUGAGACACGGUCCAGACUCCUACGGGAGGCAGCAGUAGGGAAUCUUCCGCAAUGGGCGAAAGCCUGACGGAGCAACGCCGCGUGAGUGAUGAAGGUCUUCGGAUCGUAAAACUCUGUUACUAGGGAAGAACAAAUGUGUAAGUAACUAUGCACGUCUUGACGGUACCUAAUCAGAAAGCCACGGCUAACUACGUG